AUGCAACAAUUGAGGACGGCGUUCAAACAUAUAUGAUUCAUCAUCAAGCCGAUGGAAUACCAAUUGACAUAACGUCUGCAACAUGGUAGCCUUUUUCAUUGGCUCCUAGCGGGCUUUUCUCCCUAUUCAUUCUUAUGCAGAUUGCAGAGCUUCAAUUUCUACUAAAAGUUUCAAUUAUCACA